AACGAACGCUGGCGGCAUGCCUAACACAUGCAAGUCGAACGAGACCUUCGGGUCUGGUGGCGCACGGGUGCGUAACGCGUGGGAACCUGCCCUUAGGUUCGGAAUAACUCCCCGAAAGGGGUGCUAAUACCGGAUAAUGUCUUCGGACCAAAGAUUUAUCGCCUUUGGAUGGGCCCGCGUUGGAUUAGCUUGUUGAUAGGGUAAAAGCCUACCACGGCGACGAUCCAUAGCUGGUCUGAGAGGAUGAUCAGCCACACUGGGACUGAGACACGGCCCAGACUCCUACGGGAGGCAGCAGUGGGGAAUAUUGGACAAUGGGCGAAAGCCUGAUCCAGUAAUGCCGCGUGAGUGAUGAAGGCCUGAGGGUUGUAAAGCUCUUUUACCCGGGAUGAUAAUGACAGUACCGGGAGAAUAAGCUCCGGCUAACUCCGUG
rnacentral:rRNA from 1 species